GUGAGUCAUCGAAUCUUUGAACGCACAUUGCGCCCGCCAGUAUUCUGGCGGGCAUGCCUGUUCGAGCGUCAUUUCAACCAUCAAGCCCCCGGCUUGUGUUGGGGACCUGCGGCUGCCGCAGGCCCUGAAAUGCAGUGGCGGGCUCGCUGUCACUCCGAGCGUAGUAGUUACAUCUCGCUCUGGGCGUGCUGCGGGUUCCGGCCGUUAAAAGCCUUAUUUACCCAAGGUUGACCUCGGAUCAGGUAGGAAGACCCGCUGAACUUAAGCAUAUCAAUAAGCGGAGGA
rnacentral:misc_RNA from 1 species